rnacentral:tRNA from 1 species
GAGUCAGUAGCUUAUUGGCAAGAGCAUUUCAACCAAUGUGCGCACAAACAGGUAUGAAAGGUUCGGGUUCGAUUCCCGACUGACUCA